GGCCCGAGCCUAACAAACGCCGCUCUAGGGGCAAAUCAAAGGGCCAAAAAGUGGCAUAAACACCGACAUUGCGCGCGACACGGUUGCCGCGGCCGGUCUGCGGUUUUGUCCGCCGUUUCGGCCCCUGUCGUCGCGUCGUGGCGUGCCCCAAACUGUCAUUCUCGCCACUGCACUGCAUCCACGUCAAAAUAAAAAUGCACACUCCAGACAUGCUAGCCCAACCUAAAGAGGAAAGUCCAUACUGCGCCUCCCGAAGCUCUCGAAGCUCGGGAAAUACCGCCCCGGAUCUCGCGGAAAUUGGCACCGUUGGAUUGCUGACACGCACACGAACCCAACGCAGCUACUUUUGUGCCGAUCCGAGCUCUGGAGCUCUUUUGGGAAAGGCGCCCCGAACAACCAACUCCCAUCUGACCCGCACACAGCCUUCCCCCCUCAGACACAAGAAGGGGUACGGAGAGGACCCUUCAAACCCCCUCCCAUGCCCAUUGCUCCUCGCCCCCCGAGAAGAGCCACUUGUGCAACUCCACAUUCGUUCGUCCCGUAAUAACUAAACGUUAGUGUUUAGGUUGACCUGCUUAGCCUCAAUUUUCAAUUUUAUAGCAACACUAACAAGCGGAGAAGGACAGCUGUGGGGGCAUCUUGGGAGGAGUUGCGGGGACGGACGGGAUAUUGUUGUGGUCCUGUGACUGAGCUGAAUUGAUUGCCGCUUUCUGAUCGCCUUUCCGACUGCUACAUCUCGACAUGGCCGCGUUUGGAGCAGAUUUACAACCCAGAACCAUGUGUAUACAUCAUCCUGAUCGGGUAUACGACGGUCCUAAACAAGCCCAGAGAAGCAACUGUGGAAUGACAGUCACGUGGGUGGCGAAAUCAUCGGUAUCUUUGACUCCACAUGCCCGACUUAUUGUUUGGGGAAGAUGUUGGUAUGGUACUUGUACGGUACUUGUACGGUAUUGUGCCGACUUGCACGGUAUUGUGCCGACUUGCACGGUAUUGUUCCGACUUGCUGUAUCGUGCAAGUACGCUGACCCAACACACACACGGGUCGUAUUCCUCCAUUUGAGCCCUUGUAUCACCUCUGUCAAUCCUCGUGUCAAUCUCUUGGUUCACCUGUCUCAAAAUGUUUCUAUUUAUACCCCUAAUUGUGAUGAUCUAUGAAUAUGUCUCACGCUUGUUCCGAAGCGAGCGAAGCAGUUAUGAAGCGCUAAAAAAAGCAACGCCGACUCGAGACUGUUGGAGACGGAAAGACGACGCAUUAAGACAGUUAAUUAAAGCGGCUGCGCUGCUCCACCGGCUGCACAAGGGGCUGAGAGACAUGGGGGUCGGUGGCAGCUGAGCAGCAAUCUCGGUGAAACAUGACCCGAUGAUGUAGAACUUGUCGAAGCAGUGGGGAUCGGUGUAUUCGAAGAAAGACGGUUACCUUUCGUGAACAUCAUGAACGUACUUGUAGCGGAGCCUCAGACGUGCCAUGGGGUGUUUUAGAGUAUUUUAACUAAUUAUUCCGAUUUUUUCCA
rnacentral:misc_RNA from 1 species